UUAAAGAGUUCUAUAACUCCCAAACCCAUGUGAACAUACCUCACGUUGCCUCGGCAGGUCGCGCCUACCCCGUAGCACCCUACCCUGUAGGGCCUACCCGGUAGGCACGGGUAAGCCUGCCGGCGGCCCACGAAACUCUGUUUAGUAUUGAAUUCUGAACUGUUAACUAAAUAAGUUAAAACUUUCAACAACGGAUCUCUUGGUUCUGGCAUCGAUGAAGAACGCAGCGAAAUGCGAUAAGUAAUGUGAAUUGCAGAAUUCAGUGAAUCAUCGAAUCUUUGAACGCACAUUGCGCCCAUUAGUAUUCUAGUGGGCAUGCCUGUUCGAGCGUCAUUUCAACCCUUAAGCCCUGUUGCUUAGUGUUGGGAGCCUACGGCAUAGUAGCUCCUCAAAAUUAGUGGCGGAGUCGGUUCACACUCUAGACGUAGUAAAUUUUAUCUCGCCUAUCAGUUGGACCGGUCCCCUGCCGUAAAACCCCCUAAUUUUUCAAGGUUGACCUCGGAUCAGGUAGGAAUACCCGCUGAACUUAAGCAUAUCAAUAAGCGGAGGAAAAGAAACCAACAGGGAUUGCCCUAG
rnacentral:rRNA from 1 species